GGGGAUAACGUUUGGAAACGAACGCUAAUACCGCAUGAUAUUAUUGAGCUGCAUGGCUUGAUAAUCAAAGGAGCAAUCCGCUGAAAGAUGGGCUCGCGUCCGAUUAGGUAGUUGGCGGGGCAACGGCCCACCAAGCCGACGAUCGGUAGCCGGACUGAGAGGUUGAACGGCCACAUUGGGACUGAGACACGGCCCAGACUCCUACGGGAGGCAGCAGUGAGGGAUAUUGGUCAAUGGGGGAAACCCUGAACCAGCAACGCCGCGUGAGGGAAGACGGUUUUCGGAUUGUAAACCUCUGUCCUCUGUGAAGAUAAUGACGGUAGCAGAGGAGGAAGCUCCGGCUAACUACGUGCCAGCAGCCGCGGUAAUACGUAGGGAGCAAGCGUUGUCCGGAUUUACUGGGUGUAAAGGGUGCGUAGGCGGCUUUGCAAGUCAGAAGUGAAAUCCAUGGGCUUAACCCAUGAACUGCUUUUGAAACUGCAGAGCUUGAGUGGAGUAGAGGUAGGCGGAAUUCCCGGUGUAGCGGUGAAAUGCGUAGAGAUCGGGAGGAACACCAGUGGCGAAGGCGGCCUGCUGGGCUCUAACUGACGCUGAGGCACGAAAGCGUGGGUAGCAAACAGGAUUAGAUACCCUGGUAGUCCACGCUGUAAACGAUGA
rnacentral:rRNA from 1 species